rnacentral:rRNA from 1 species
GACGAACGCUGGCGGCGUGCUUAACACAUGCAAGUCGAACGGAAAGGCCCUGCUUUUGUGGGGUGCUCGAGUGGCGAACGGGUGAGUAACACGUGAGUAACCUGCCCUUGACUUUGGGAUAACUUCAGGAAACUGGGGCUAAUACCGGAUAGGAGCUCCUGCUGCAUGGUGGGGGUUGGAAAGUUUCGGCGGUUGGGGAUGGACUCGCGGCUUAUCAGCUUGUUGGUGGGGUAGUGGCUUACCAAGGCUUUGACGGGUAGCCGGCCUGAGAGGGUGACCGGCCACAAUGGGACUUGGAUACGGCCCAGACUCCUACGGGAGGGAGGAGGGGGGAAUAUUGCAACAUGGGCGGAAGCCUGAUGCAGCAACGCCGCGUGCGGGAUGACGGCCUUCGGGUUGUAAACCGCUUUCGCCUGUGACGAAGCGUGAGUGACGGUAAUGGGUAAAGAAGCACCGGCUAACUACGUG